rnacentral:lncRNA from 1 species
UCCGAUGGAGAUUCCAACGAUGUUGACGGCGUAGAAGGGAGGAAGGAGACUGAGAUCAAGCCGAGCGGUUCGUCUUGCGGGGGCUUUGGUGGUGGUAGACGAGGGUGUAGAGCCGAAGAUGAGAUAGUUGGAGACGUUUUUGUGUGAGGUAUGGUCAACGAGGCAGUAUGAGAAUUUGCCUCCGAAGAUGUUAGUGGCUUUUGCAGUGAAGGAGUAAUCGCUCAAGGCUAGACCAAGGAUACCGUCUGCUUCACGGAAGCUGGCACCACCUUCGGAGUUGCUGCUGCAGCCAAUGAGGAGGCCACGGAUACUAGUAACGCUGCCGUUGGUGAGACCAAGAGUGAAGGUCUCCUUAGCGAAUACACCUUGUGCUGAUGAUCCAUCAACAUAUCUGUUACACCAAAUCUAAGUAAGAAUGCAAAAAACAUGGAUGGAUUAUUACUAAAGAGGCAAACCUAACUCCCAAGUCACAAUAAGUAACAUUUAUAUACUGUGAUGAAUAGUAGCACAAGACACAUUUAAUUUUCACAUCUUCUCCUUACAUACACUUGCAUCUAACUCUAUGUCUCCCUCAUGUUUAGGCAUGGGCAUAAAAACCGAGAACCAAAAAUUGAACCGGAAUCGAACCCGAAACCGAACAGAUAUUCAAAAAUAACUGAACGGUUCCUAUAUUUCUAUAACCCAAAAACUGAAACCGGAGUGGAACUGAAUCGAGAACAAUUAUAUAUAGUAUUAAAAUUAGCAAUUUUUUUAAAAGUAUUACUUAUAAACCGAAUUACCCAGAUAUUUUUUAUCCAAAGUAUUUAAAAAUUUCCGAACUACCCUAAAUAACCAAAUUACUCGAAUAGUUUUAUCCAAAAAUUUAAAAUUUAUCCGAAUUACCCGAUUUUUUAAUCUAAAAACCUGAAAAAAAUCUGUAUUUGUACCCUCGAAUAUCUAAAACUAACCGACAAAACGAUACCGAAUUGAAACCAAAAGUUUAUUGGAUAUUAGCCUGUUCUUAUAAUUAUUACCCGAACCGAACCAAAAACCGAAAUAACUGAACUAAAUCCGAACCGAUUUUCAUAGAUAACCGAAUGGUUCAUUGAACCGAAAACAGAAAGAACCGAAUCUGCACCGAACCCAAAACCCAAUGCCAGGCCUGAUUCGCAUUUUGACUAUGGAUCAAUAAUACAAACACAACCACUAAAAGAGAGUUUAUUUAUCCUUGUACCUGUAAUCGUAUGCGCAUGGAGUUCUAGGGGUAGGGCAUAUAGCGAUGGAGAAUAGUUUCGCCAAAUCUUCCGAACAAGUCUUCGUCAUGCAUCCAACCUUUCUGAAACUGGACGAAUUCUCUGCUCUGAAGACAUGACGAUUCUCAAGUUUCUCUGGCCCUUGCCCAUGGAACCUACAAUUCACCCAUGUCAGCUCGCUCCCUGUGUCCACCACCACCCUGAACCUCUUCGCUGGCGUUCCAACCAUGAUCUCCGAGAAAUACUGCGCCGCUCCGAAGUCGAAACCUGAUCCCAGCGACAUUUUCACUCCACCCUUAGUUGUUUUUAUUUUCUGAGAAAUGACGUUGUGACGCUUCUGGUCCAUGCCCAUAAUGUCUUCGAUGCGAUGGUAAGGUGACGGAUUCGGUGAGAGUGAAUCACGGUGCUUCAUGUCGAGACGCAUAGCCGUUUCUUCCUUGGAAUGUGCGGAGGCUAUUAGGAGCAUCGUGAUGAGACACAAGAGCAUUGUUGUCGUUGUCUUCAUUUUUUUCGUCCUCUUGUUCUGUUUUUUUUUUUUGCUCCUUUUAGGGUUGUCCGUUUCUAAAACAGAGUAUUUAUAUUGACCAACACGCCUUUCUCUCUCUAUUCUUUUUUUUAAUCAUAAAUCUAAAAAACCUUGAUUGAGUUAUAGUUUUUAGAUUUGUUUUAGUUUCUGAAAUUACCAUAUUUAUCAAGAUUUUGAAAAUGUGGUUUUCCUGAAAAAAAGGGAGACUCAUUUUUGUAGCUACAAUAAAAACAAAAAACACACCAUGUUAUUUGGGUUUCUUAUUAAAAAGCCUAUUUUUUCCAACGAGAGUUUAUUUGUUAUUUAUGAUUAUUAUUUUAUAACAUAUUUUUGUUAUUAUCCAAAAUUCAAAAACUAUUUUAAAGGCUUUAAACAUCUUCCGUAAAUUAAAAAGAAAACAUUUGAGGCUAGCAUGUCAAAAGUCAAAACCAUGUUUUCUAUGUAUUUUAGUUUUAAGUCCUAUAAUUACUUUUAAAGCUAUUAAUUCAGAAAUACAGUGUUCGUUUAGAUUACUUAAUUUAUGAAUUAAUGACAAACUGAUCAAUUCUUAGCAAAUCUAACAUUUUUUGAGAAAUUAAAGUAGGAAUGCAAAACAAAUAACUCUCAUCGGUGACCAUUAAAAUAAGAAUAAAAAUGAAUAAGAAAAGAAUGAAGAAUAACAAAAUAAAAUGAAUGAAAAUAAAUAUUUAAUCCCUUUGUUCCAUAUCAAUUUUGAUAAUAAAUGUUUUUCUUAUAUAGUUCCUUAAAAUUUAAAGAAUGAAAAUGAAUCAAAUGCAGCAAAAACUUUCUUAUAAAUGGUGUAAUUUUUAAGAAAUGAAUAGGAAUCGAGUAUUCUCCUUCAUUCUCUACGUCACACCAUUUGGACUCAAAGACAAACGUGAAAGAGGGUAAAGAGAGAGAGUGUGCGCUUGUGUUAUGACAUUGUAACACAAGUGUAAGAAAGAGAGAGAGAGUGAGUGAGAACAAAGACAGAGACUGAACAAAAGAGUCUUGAGUGAACAAGAGCAAGAGAGAGGCCGGCCGUAAGUGAGUCGAGUGGAAAGGUCAAGCCAAGAAGAGCUUUUUAUUUAUAAAUUGAUCUUUCAAUUUUUAUAUAGUUUUGUUUGUAUCAAAACUAAUUCAGUAUUUGUGUUUUAUGCUUUAAUAAAUUAUUAAUAUUUUCAUAAUACAAUUAUAAAUUUCUAAAAAUAAUUUUAUAUUCUUGUAAAGACUAAAUUUAUGUAUAAUAUAAUAAAGAUAGUUAAAAUACAAUUAUUUUGGAUAAAAUUUGUAAAAUUAUAAAAUAACAAACAUUAUUAGAACUUUUUUUUGUGCAACACAUUAUUAGAGCUAAUAAUAAGUAUUAAUAAUAAAAUAUAUUUACAAUAUUCUUUUUCAAAAGGAAAAAUGAGUGAAACUCCAAUUCAUUUAGAAAGAACUGUUGACAUGAAGAAUUAAACAAAGGGAAGUAGUGGAGGAAGUAGGAGAAGUGGCCAUAUCACUUACCAAAUGGGGAGGAGUGGCUAGUCCACUACUAGUUAGUGGAGGAAGUGGGAGGAGUGACCAUAUCACUUACCAAAUGGGGAGGAGUGGCUAGUCCACUACUAGUUAUUUAUUCUUCCACCAUUGAGUGCUUAUUGCUUUUGUUUCCUUUAAAUACACCAUGUAUGUUACACAAUUAAACACACAAUUCAAUACAAACAUUUCUUUCAUUCUCUCAAUCUCACAAAUCCUCUCAUUCUCUUAAAUUCUCAAAUUUCUCUUCUCUCUCAAAUACUUACGGUUACUUCACUCCUUUUUUACUUUGUUCGUGUGCUUCAUCACGGUUAAAACACUUAGAAGCUCUCAUAAUCCCACAAAUUAUCAUGGUAUCAGAGCAGCAACAAUCUUGAAACCUUUCUAAAUUCCGCAAAAUCAAAACUCUGUUUCUAGUUCUUAAACUCUACCUCUGACCAAGUAAAUCCCCAAGAUGGAGAACAACAACAACAAUAACAACAACCGCAUCAGCAUACCUGUGACCCUGAAGGGGAUUAACUACCUCUUGUGGGCCAGGAUGGUGAAGAUUGCCCUUGGAGGAAAGGGUUUGUGGAGUCAUGUCUCAGCAGAAGCAGCUCCAAAACAAACCACCCAAGGAGAAGAUGGACAGGAGAUUGUGGUAGCUACUGAUGAAGACAAAUGGGCUCAGGAAGAUCUCAUGGUUCUCACAGUGCUCCUUAGCUCCCUAGAACCCGCCAUCAUGGAGUCUUACUCCUACUGUGAAACUACCAAGCAGCUGUGGGAUACACUCUACAAAGUGUAUGGAAAUACCUCCAACCUUACAAGGGUCUUUGAAGUAAAAAGAGCUAUCAAUACCCUCAACCAAGGAGAUAUGGAGAAGGGACAGUGUGAUGAGCAAUGGUGGUUCAGCUAAAGUGAGAGGAAGCUUGGAGCGCAAGAAAUCAAAGAGUUUUAAAGAAGGAGAAAGCUAUCCUUCUUGGCUCAUAACCGAGGCUCCUGGGAGUAUAGCCGCCGUGAGGAGGGAGCAAGUGGCUGCACAACAAGCCCUAAGGAAACUGAAGAUUGCUCAUUACGGCAGAUCUAAAUCAACGCUAACUAAUUUUACCUCCUCCAAAGUUGUCCCUCUUGUUCACCCUAGCCCUCAUCCUCAUCCUCAGAGGUGCAGCUUCAUCACCCCUACUUCUGGUAUAUUAGCCUUUCCAUUUUUCUUUUACUUGGUGUAUUAGUCUCUCUUCAAAAUUCUGAUUUUUUUUAAUGUCAUUUUCUCAGAUCCUAUUUACGUUGCCUACCAUGAUGAAGAAUGGGGAGUCCCUGUCCAUGAUGACAAGUGCGUUACAUAAUUUUUUUCUUACAAUUUUAAUACUAUCACUUUUAUUUUUCAUAAUUGCAACAAAAUUUAGUUUAUUGAGUGUAUUAAAAUCUUGGAAAUUAGGAUAGAAUCCUAAAUGAUUUGGUAACCUGCUAAUCUUAAAUCUAUAUCCCCUUAUAUAUUUGGAACUAAAAGUGAUUAGCUUUCUUUUGUUUCUUAGAUUUUAUAUCUUACUAUAACACAUUUUCAUUUUAUCCAAAUAAUAAACUAAUUAUCUCUAUUUCAGGACGUUGUUCGAACUGCUAACCCUAAGUGGCGCGCAAGUAGGCUCCGAUUGGACUUCAACCUUGAGAAAACGCCAUGACUUCAGGAAAGCAUUUAUGGAAUUUGAAGCGGAAGCGGUUGCAAAAAUUAGCGAGAAAGAGAUGAAUGAAAUAAGCACCGAAUACAAGAUAGAGAUGAGCAAAGUGAGAGGCAUUGUGGAGAACGCAACAAAGAUCCUAGAGAUCAAGAAAAACUUCGGGUCACUAGAGAAGUACAUUUGGGGUUUUGUGAACCACAAACCCAUCUCCACGAACUACAAGUUUGGCCACAAGAUUCCGGUCAAGACAUCCAAGUCGGAGAGCAUAAGCAAAGACAUGGUGCGUCGAGGCUUCAGGUACGUGGGCCCCACUGUGGUUCACUCCUUCAUGCAAGCCGCUGGUCUAACCAAUGACCACUUGCUCACUUGUUACCGUCACAUUCCUUGCACUCUCCUCAGUACCAAUCCCUAAAAGAACUCAUUUCUUAUUUAUUUACUUAAUUGAAAGUGUGUUUUUCAACUUUCGGGUGAUUUGUGUACAACAAAUGUAGGUGUAGGAGGAAAUGGAUUGUGUGAUUUUAAUUGGCAUGUAAGAUAAACCAGCUGGUGUAGUUUGUGUUUUUUUUCUUUUCUUUUGUGUGACGUUUUUAUUAUAAUCACAUGUAUAAGGGUUUUUGAUGUAUGUGUGGUGUGACAAAUUGAAUUAGUAAUUGAUUUUCAUUUGAGUUUAACUUAUCUUAUAAUAACUUAAGACUAAUGUGCAUUCUUAGCCAAAGAAAAAGACUAAUGUGCAUGGGAAAAUUCAAUAUCCUCUUGGGUUUUCAAAAUAUCGUCUCUAUCCAAUCUUUUAUCCAAGAUAUUUAUUUUAUUGUUUUAAAAUUUGUAUUGAGAAUUGAAAGAAGAGUACAAUAACAAAAAAAAUGGUGAUUGGUGUUCGUAGAAGCAAAUAGAAUGAUGAUGAAGCAUGUGAUGCUUCUCUGUCACCAAUAAUGAUUGCAUCAUUUUAGUGGAUGCCAUGAUGGGAUUGGUCAUUGCCCAUUGGAUUGGGUCAUUCUCCCCAUCCCUAAUAUAACUUCUUUCCCAGUUCUACCCUUUCAAUUAUUUAUUCAAGUUCCAAGGACAAGGCUCCUCCUUCCUUCACUCUCUGUUUAUAUGAUCAUUGAUAUUAUUUGAAUAUUUACCCUUAUCGUAUGUUUUUAUAGAAGAUGUGGUCUUUAAGUAAGGAUGUGACUUUUGGUAUAAAACAGAGUACUCGACAAGUUUUGUUAAUGUUGAGAGAAUGUAAAAAUGAAAAAGAAAAAUCAAAUAUGCUUUGAGAAGAGAGCACAUGAGACUGCAACAACGAUGCAUCAGAUUCCUACUUUCCUCAACACCGUAACACAGAAGCAGCCCUUCUUUGUCAGAGCGUGUAAACUUAGUAAAGAGUAAAGACCAAGCUAAUGAAGUUAUGGGCCCAACCUGCUCUCUCAACGGCCCACUAAGAGGCUAUUAUUUACAAGGCCCAAUAGUGAUUCUAUGGAAAUGAAUGCUAUCUAACAAGUUUUGAUAGCAUUAUUUACUUGUUCACUAACAAAUUUAAUUUUGUCAAAACACCAAUCUAAAGGCAGGUAGAAGGAGAAAAAGACAAAGUUGAGGCCGCAAUAUCAAACUCCCACAAAUGAUUCUGCUGCAUUAUAUUCCCAAUGACAUUAGUAGCCUCAGCUUUAGCCUCCACAAACCCUAAACACCUGAUUCCUGGCGCAGCAUUUAUCAGGUAGCUUCUACGAUAAGGCGCGAAACGAGUACCGCCCAUGAAGUGAAACGUUAGUUGUGGCAGCUUUCUGUCGUCGAACUUGCUGGUAUAAUAACAAAACUCUAUUGGUAGUCCUUCUGGUUUGAUUCUUUUCACACCAACAAGGUGACGCUGUAGCCCUGUAACCACGGCCUUGUACGCGGCCUCAGCUAAGAACGUGAGGCUGCUUCCUGAGUCCAAAAUGGUCCCACCACCUUUCUUUACACCCCAUACUUGUGGAGGGAUAUUGAGCAUUUCCUCUCCGAUGGAGAUUCCAACGAUGUUGACGGCGUAGAAGGGAGGAAGGAGACUGAGAUCAAGCCUAGCGGUUCGUCUUGCGGGGGCUUUGGUGGUGGUAGACGAGGGGGUAGAGCCGAAGAUGAGAUAGUUGGAGACGUUUUUGUGUGAGGUAUGGUCAACGAGGCAGUAUGAGAAUUUGCCUCCGAAGAUGUUAGUGGCUUUUGCAGUGAAGGAGUAAUCGCUCAAGGCUAGACCAAGGAUACCGUCUGCUUCACGGAAGCUGGCACCACCUUCGGAGGCGCUGCUGCAGCCAAUGAGG